GAUGAACGCUAGCAACAGGCCUAACACAUGCAAGUCGAGGGGCAGCGCGGAGCAAGCUUGCUUGUUCUGGCGGCGACCGGCGCACGGGUGCGUAACAGGUGUGCAAUCUGUCCAUAAUCGGGGAAUAGCCCAGCGAAAGUUGGAUUAAUGCUCCAUGUGAGUUUUAGAGGCAUCUCUUUAAUUUGAAACGUAAGGAUUAUGGGUGAGCACGCUUCUGCUUAGUUAGUUGGUGAGGUAACGGCUCACCAAGCCGACGAUCAGUAGGGGUUCUGAGAGGAAGGUCCCCCACAUUGGAACUGAGACACGGUCCAAACUCCUACGGGAGGCAGCAGUGAGGAAUAUUGGUCAAUGGGCGAAAGCCUGAACCAGCCAAGUCGCGUGAAGGAUGAAGGUUCUAUGGAUUGUAAACUUCUUUUGUCUGGGGGUAAAAAAGCGGACGUGUCCGUUCUUGCAAGUAUCAGACGAAUAAGCAUCGGCUAACUCCGUGCCAGCAGCCGCAGUAAGAC
rnacentral:rRNA from 1 species